rnacentral:rRNA from 1 species
UCCUACGGGACGCAGCAGUGGGGAAUAUUGCACAAUGGGGGAAACCCUGAUGCAGCGACGCCGCGUGAGUGAAGAAGUAUUUCGGUAUGUAAAGCUCUAUCAGCAGGGAAGAAAAUGACGGUACCUGACUAAGAAGCCCCGGCUAACUACGUGCCAGCAGCCGCGGUAAUACGUAGGGGGCAGGCGUUAUCCGGAUUUACUGGGUGUAAAGAGAGCGUAGACGGUAGAGCAGGUCUGCAGUGAAAGCCCGCGGCUCAACUGCGGGCCUGCUUUGG